UAAAACCUAGUUAUCUGCAAUAUGAAAUAUUAAAUUUGAGUACCAACUAUAACAUAGAAGGGCAUAUACAACGGUAUUUAGAAGAUAUCUAUAUACCACCAGGUCAGCCAAUCCGUCCUACGUGGACCAUCAACAAUGAUGAGAGCGGAUGGUGUCGUCGUCUCGCGCGACGCCGGCAAAGGCUCGUUGUCCCAGAUCGUAUCGCCAGUCCUCGCCGCGUUGUAGCCCUCGUUCCCAACCGACGACGGCCUUCCUCGAUCUGGUGCGGAAGGCGGAAUCGUUGAUGGCGGCAAAGAGCAUGCUCGCACGCCAAUCUUCCACGCCAAAAUUUCUUCCUCGGUUCCUCCCCGUCCGUCUUGCCCCGGUACCCUCCAAUCUCUCGCCCCCAUCCCUUCUUCCCCCAACCACACGAUGCAUCCCCUGCGGCAUGAGAUGAGCAAGGCGGCUGCGGUGCGGCCGCGGAAGCUGCUAAACGCGGCGGCAGUGCGGGAGCAGAACGGAGUAGCGGACUGCGCGGGAGGUGAAGGGCGCGGCGACUCUUUCCGGCGUCCAGUCGCCUUCCCAGCGCCGAAGCCUUCGGCUGCGCUGAUUCUUCCACCGCCGCCUCGCCCUUCUCUGGAUGCACAGCUUGCUAGAUUUCACGCUGAGUAGUUUGUUUCUUGCAGUGUCUCGACCCGUCGGCAUUCAGCUGAUCAGCUCCACUUCACAUAUUGCAAAGUAGGUGGCGUCGGUGCUUGCUUCUGUGAAUGCCUUGCGCUCCUUGCUUCUUUGUUUACUUCAAAAUACAGAGUGAAGAUGGCACAGCUGCUGCACAGCCUACUGCUAUUUCAUUCUGUCUAGUAAGGCUCAAAAGCCCCCAAUUCUGCCUACUGAAUGCUAGGUAGUGAUUGUUAGGAUGGAUAUGGAGCUAUGCAGGAACACAAAUCCCCUCCGUUUCCAGCUUAUGCAGGCUGCACAAGCAUCGCUGGCGCAAAAGGUCUCAGUUCCGCUCACAUCACUGCGUCUCCUCACCGUGUGCCGCAUCUCCUCACCAGUCCACCACCAUGCCUCCGCCGCCGACCUUCUGCGCCAGCAGCGGGGCUGGCACCCCAGCAAAGGCUGCCGCUUUCGGUGGCUCGGUAGGACACGACGGUGCCGGCUCUGACUCGUCCCAAAGGCGCCGCCUUCAGCAUCCGGCCGGAGCUUCUCGCGGUGGGCGGGGUCCUAGCGCCGGCGAUGCUGAUGAUUUAGAGCAAGCGGCAUGUGGUCGCGGCGACUCUCGCGUCAGUGGCGCUGUUCAAGAUUGACGUCGGCGGCCGCUACCGGAGACGAAUAAACAGGAGCUGGAUUUGUGCGGCCUCGGCCUAGUCUCGUCAAUUCGGGAGCAGAGUCGCCGGCCAAGACGCCUAGGCUGAGCUGCUCUGACUCCGACACGGGGAGCAAGGUCCCACCAUCGGUCAGAGAGCGCAUUGCCGUGGGUCGCUUUGGUGCCAAUCAUCCUCGUCGGUCUCGUGGCCGGACAGCUCCCCGCGGUGGCGCUCACUGAGUCACUGUGCUCUGCGCCGUGUUCUUCAUCUCGGUGGAGGGAACACUAGCCCAGUGAUGACCCCGUCAAAUCCAACUCCGCGGCCAGGUCACUGAAGCUGCUGCUCCUCGAAGCAGCACGCAGAGAAGCAAUGAUGAAUCCAAUUUUGGUUGUGCCUAGAUUCGAUUCACCAUGUGAGAAUUGGAUUUUGAUGCUCAUCAGUCAAUUUUAAAGUUAUGUGGGUUCAAUUUUGUAAUUCUCGAUCUGCAACCUUCCGUCUCUGUUCUUUUUUAUUUUUCUUUCCUUCGCGUGUGUGAACAGAGAUAGCGUAAUUUCCUUUU